UUGGACAAUGGGCGCAAGCCUGAUCCAGCAAUGCCGCGUGCAGGAAGAAGGCCUUCGGGUUGUAAACUGCUUUUGUACGGAACGAAACGGUCUGGGUUAAUACCCUGGGCUAAUGACGGUACCGUAAGAAUAAGCACCGGCUAACUACGUGCCAGCAGCCGCGGUAAUACAA
rnacentral:rRNA from 1 species